UGUGUAGGUGGCUGAGCAAGUCGUUGAUGAAAUCCCGAGGCUUACCCUCGGAACUGUCUCCGAAACUGCUCAGCUUGAGGAUAGUUGAGGAGAACGGAAUUCCCGGUGGAGCGGUGAAAUGCGUAGAUAUCGGGAGGAACACCAGAGGCGAAGGCGGUUCUCUGGGCUAUUCCUGACACUGAAACACGAAAGCUAGGGGAGCAAACG
rnacentral:rRNA from 1 species